rnacentral:lncRNA from 1 species
GGUGAAGAAAAGCAAAAGUGAAGAAAACCAUCUUUUCAAAAGAGCUUUCCAUCAUUCAGGCAACAGGUCACUCAGUGAAGAAACUGUGCCAGGAGACUGGGAAUAUCUUCUAAAUCCUUAAGCAAACUGUGCUGAAAACAAACUGCUGAAAGAAAUAUAAGCAUUUGACUUUAAAAUGAUGCCUCUGGAAAAAAGGGACUACAGCAGCUGCCAGAUGUUCAUGAUCCCACCUCCCCUACUUAACAAAGGCACCUAUAUUUCACCAGAAAUAAAAUUUUAUUAGUAACAAGUCAAA